rfam:Triticum aestivum genome assembly, contig: Triticum_aestivum_CS42_TGACv1_scaffold_030556_1BL
AUCAUACUCCCUCCGUCCGAAAAUACUUGUUAUAGAAAUGGAUACAAAUGGAUGUAUCCAGAACUAAAAUACAUCUAGAUACAUCCAUUCCUUGGACGAGUAUUUCUAGACGGAGGGAGUACUUG